UCACGACUUAAACAGCGCAUUAAA
rnacentral:snRNA from 1 species